GUGACCAUCUUGGCACCAUCCUUGGCAAUUCCUUCAGCUUCAUAGUCUCUACCAACCAUAAAUCCUAAGAGAAGGAACAGAAACACAGCCAAGUUCAUAUGGAUGCACACAGAAAUCUUCAAACAACAUAAGAAAGCAAUCUACCUUUAAGAGAUGAUCUCAAAGCAGUAGCUUGAUGCUGAAAGAAUGUGACAUGGCAACUAAGGACAAAGUACUGUGGCGAGCCAAACUGUGAGGGCUCAGUAUUCACUGACCUGGUUUAAAAAUAUGACUGUUCCUUCUGAAGUGAUCCUUUAAAACUUUGAUGAAAUAAAGAUGAAUGUUUCAUAGA